GUCGCCGAAGGAAGCGUUGAUCCGGACAGGCCACACCGGCGCCCCGCGAGGGGCGUACGGAGAGACACGGUCGCCUAGCCCGUCCGGGGAGUGAGUGGCGAGACCGACCUGCCCCAGU
rnacentral:ncRNA from 1 species